GGGCAGACCGGUUUUUAGUUACGCUUGGCAGUUAAAAUAUUUGUGAUACACCUGAGAGUGGAAAAUAAACUUUUCUAUUCUAUUUCAAGCUUGGUAGUAUGAAUAUCUGUGGUGAAUUAGUUGUAACUCGGUCUCCUGCUUCUCUGUAAAGGUGCGCUCACAGUCAGCAGAACGUCUCUCUCGUACCUUCACAGAGAGAAACGUAGAAAGAACCGAUUUGUUCUCUGGUAGUGUUAUUUUAUUCUUUACUUUGCAAAGGACUGAGAAUGAACUUGGUUGGUUUACUCGUUGAAGAGCUUCAGUUCACAUGACUCAAGACGUCCAAGAGUGACGGCCUGUGGAAAGACGCUGUUCCUGUGUGGUCGGUGGUUUUGGUGUACAGUCCUCUGCAUAUCGGAGGGGAGGAGUUGGAACAGCUUGUGUCCAGGGUGUGAAGGCUCUGCAGUGAGUGGGAACAAUCUGACCAAGCUUCUUGUGGAGACUAGAAGCUUUAAUACACAUCAGAGAGGGAGGAGAUGAUCUGCAGCAUCCUGGUGAUCUUCAUCCUGACCUCCUGUGUCUG